UCACUAGUUUUUUUGGUAUAAUUUAAGAGUGAAGUGUUGGAUUUCUUUAAGAUUUUACUUUAGAUCAAUUGAAGGUUUUGAUCCUUUAAAAAAAAUAAUAUAAUAGUUGAAAGAGAGUGAGUUGAACCAGCUUUGUAGGAAGAUUUUGUCUUGGACCAAGGCCAUCGCGGGCCACAACGAAACUCCAUCAGAAUUGGGAACAAAGAAUGCGGCGACGGGAGUCAUGGUGUAGAGCCGGUGAAAGGUGGGAGGAACACGGUGGUCGGAAGCGAGGGAAGAGUUAAGAAUGGAGUGAGAAGAAAGAAGUGCGAGGAGACGAUCUAGCAUUGAGGCUGCUUCUGGGUUACUGCAACUAAUCUUUGAUGCUAUUUCCUUAGCAGAAAGCUUAGCACCUUCUCCCGCUUCUUGCAGCACCUCAAACACUCCCAGCUCCGUCGCCGAUUGCACUGCCAUCGGAAGGACCACCGAACCUACAAUCUCCAUGGCUCGCGAGAAGCUUUCUGCAUCUUCUAUUUCUGAAUCUGGAAGGGUUGCCAUCUCCACUUGAACACCUGCAAAUCACUCACAACUUCCACACCUUAAACUAGUAUAUAUUUACACACUACUCUUCUUCUUUCCCUUACGAAGACAAGAAAGAGAAGAGAAGGGAAGAAAAAAGAAGAGGUCUAUAUAUAAAGGGAAAAAAUCUUAUCCUUAACCUUCCUUUUUCAGUGCUUUUUUUUAAGGUAUUUUUUUACAAAUUAAACAAUUUUCUUCUUUAAUUUUAUAGUUUUGAAUAGGCUGCUAUAUAUUAACACAUUCAACCCUAAAAACACACAUUUCCCGUUAUAAUAAGUUAAUAUUUUAUUUUAUUUUUUAAUUUAAUAAUAUUAUUAUAUUAUUAUAAACAGUGUCAAAUGUAAUUUUUUUUACUGUUUAUGUGUUCAUGCAAUAUUUUUCUCUUUUGAAUAAACAUAUUUCAAUGAUAAUAAAUAAUUUAAAAUUAAUUUCUCUGAAUUUAAAAUAAAUGAUACUUGUUUAGCUAAAGUAAAUAUAAUGUGUAUUUUUUAUAAUAAAAAUAAUUAUGAAUAAUUACUGCAAUAUUUAUUAUUUUAGUGAAACUAUCUAUGGUAACUCUCUUGUAAAACAAACAUGACUUACGAAUCAAUAUUGAUCAUCAUUUUUUAGCCAUGAUUUUUAAGCUACAUUUUUGUGAAAUGACUUUUAAAAAAAAUGCAUCACGGGAAAAGUAGUGUGACCUAAAAUAAUAAAAAUAUGGAAAUUUUUCUAUUUUGAAAAUAGAAGGAAAUUUUUUUAGAAAUGUAACUUACAAAUAUUAUACAUCAUGUGUCAUAAAAGGUGGAUAAUUUAAACCACAGAAUUUUUAAUGUGGCUUAUAAUAAUUAUCAAUAAACAAUAAAAAAAUUGUGAACUAAAAACCUCUAUCUUAUAGUUAAAAUCUUUAAAAUUAAAUCUAUGAUAUUUUUUUUUUUAUGUUUUUAAAUAUUAUACGGAGGUUUUGAAACUUAUGAUAUUGUAUGGAGAUUCUUAAACCCAUUAUAUUUAACCGAGGUUCUAAAAGAUGAAAUUAAAAAAUCCUUAAAGAACAUGUUUUUUUUAUGAAUGGUUUAGCGUGUAACUUUAGAUAAAUAACUUAAUAAAAAAUUUUACCUCGAAUAAUGUAAAAAGAAACCACUUUUUUUCUUAUAGUUUUUAUAUGUGUUUUCAUUAAUGAAUAUAUAUAUUUUCUUUAAUAAUAUAUUGUAAAUUUUUUGUUGAGUUAACUUUACAAUAUGUUAUAUAUAGGUUUCUUUUGAAUUAUUCAGAAGUUUAUAUUGAAAAGAAUGGAAUAAAAAUUUGAGAAGGAAGACCAUCAUGAUUCAUACAAUUAACUACUGUCUGAAAAUAAUUUUUAAAUAUGUUUUUUAAUUGAAACCCGAAAAAUUAUCAUAAGUUUUUGUGAUGUCAUAAAAGUAUAAAAAUGGAAUAUCUUUUCAAUCUAAUGUAAAAAUAAGGCAGAAUGUUAAUUAUAAUAUUGGAAAUGAUUUUUACUAUUUCUUCUGUAAUUGGCUAGAUUUUGUAUAAAUUGUCAAAAUACUCCUAAUUAAUCAAUUUAAGAAGUCUAAAAUUGAUUUUUAGUGAGAAUAUUUUGAUACUUUUUAUCUUUAAAAGUUGAAGUCAAGUUUAUCAGAAUGAUCAUGAGUACUUUGAUUAUUUUAUACAAAAUUAUAUAACUAUAGUAAAAAUUUUAUAAUUAUGUAAUAUUGUAGAUCAUAUUAUAAGUGUAAAAUAAAGUUCUGAAUAUUGUGCUUAUUGUUAUCACUGUAAAGUAAAGUAAUAAACUAAAUUACUGCUGUUCAAUUUGACCGUUCUGAAAAUAAAAUAUAUUACCCUUAUGAUCAAAUUGAUAAUACUGUUAGUGAUGAUUUGCAAAUUUUUAAAAAAAAAUCCUUUAACUCUUAUUUGUAAAGGAAUCCAUCCAUUAUUACCCUGUUAGGGAUAAUACUAUGAGUUAAAUCCACUAAAAAACGAUCAUUUACCUUCCACGGUGAUUUAACUUUCAUAUGUAUGUGUGAGUUCACAUUUAACUUUCAUAUGUAUGUGUGAGUUAAGUGUGAACGUGAUUUUUUUAGACCAAAUCCAUGCAAAAUUGAUGCAAAAGUAUAUUUUUUUGGAAAUCUGACGCAUAAUAGACGUAAAUAUAGAUUUAAAUAAAAAAUGGACUAUAAUUUAUAUUUAUUUAAUGUAUAAUAUGGUAAAAAAUAUUAUAAUUUUUACUUGUUUAUUGUAUUUAUUUUAAUUUUUUUAAUAAUUUUGGUAUAUGUUAGUUAAUAAAUUGAUUACGUGUUUAUUUUUAAAUUAUUUUAAAAAAAUAUCUUAAACAAUUUAAAAAGAAUUGAAAAAUGUUAAAAAAUAAUAAUUGAGUAAAAGAAAAAAUGUAAUUAAAUUUAUAAAUGUUAUACAAAAUACUUAAAUUUUUUAAAAAUUAAUUAUUUUAAUUUAAUUUCAUUUAUAAUAAGUAUUUAGAUAUAAAUUAGUUAAAUUAAAUUUAUUAAAUUGAUUAAUAGUUUAAUUUAAAAUUAUUUAAAGAAUUAUCCUAUAAAGUUUAUAAAGAAUUGAAAGAUGUAGAAAAAUAAUAAUUGGGUAAAAAAAUACAUAUUUAAAUUUUUAAAAUAUUAUGUAUUUAUUUUUUGUUGUAUAAAUUAAAUAUAUGUUUUGUUCUAUAAAUGAAAUUAAGUUUUUUUUUCUAUAAAUUAAAAUAAAUUUUUGUUGUAUAAAUUGAAUUUAAUUGUUUUGUAUAAAUUAAAGAAAGUUUUUCUUAUAAAUUAUAUCAUUUUUUUAUACAUUAAAUUUAUUUAUUUGUUAUAUAAAUUUAAAAUAAAAUAAAUUAAAUUUUUGAAAGUUUGAAUAUAAUUUUUAUUAAAUUAUAUUUAAGCUACAUACUUAUGAAAAUUUUCAAGUGCCUCACAUUAAUAAUAAUAAGUAUAAUAAAAAUCAUAAUAUUACAAAAGAAUUUGUCUGGUUUAGUGGUUAAAGCUUAUUUGGUCACGGAAAAAAAUAAAUAAUCACUUGACAACUUAACUUUUAAGAGUAAUGUGAUUAUUGAAUUUUUUUUUUAAUUAUAAGAAAAAAUGAAAAUAUGUUUUUAUUUAAUUUAACAAAACUUAUUUUCUAAUUAGUUAUUUUGACCAUUCAAUACCCAAGUUUUUUUUGUUUUAUUGAUGAAUGUUCUUUUUGAAAAUUCUACUAUAUCAAAAUUCAAGUCUUUUUUUCUACUAGAGUCACUACAAAAAUUUAUUAUUUUAAUAGAGAUUUAUUCGUGGAGGUUUUUAUAACAUCUGGUAAUGGACACUGUUAGUAGAGGUUUCUUAAAUCCCUGAUAAACAUCAAUAGUUUUUUAAUAAGUCAAAGUAAAAUAUUUCAAUUUUCUUCCUUUCUCCUAGAGAAACAAUGCUCUCUAACGUCAACCCUAGGUUAUUUCUCACAUUUUUUGUUUUCAUUUCCAACUUUCAAAAUCCAACAAGACCCCAUUCUCUUCUUUCACUCUCUAUUUCGUCUUCUAUUUUCAUCCUCAUCUAGCAAUCAUCUCUUUCUCUCGCAUUAUUUUCAUCAUCAUCUUCUAUUUGACUCUGGCUCAGAUUCACUUUUCCAAGCCUUCAGGAAGAGAGUGGCAAUGUUGUAUUCCAGGAAGAGCGAGUCAAUAUAUAACUUCUUCUAUUUCAUCAUUCCAAACUAUGUACACAUACGAAGAAACUAAUUUCAUAUUUUUCUGAUAGAAACUGAUUGAAGGAAGAUUUGGUGAUGUAAUGGAGGAAGUCGUGAGGACUCACCAAGCUAUCAAGUAAGACAGAAAUCUCUCACUUAAUUUUAACCUCUAACUUUGACUUGUCUGUUUACUUAACAUAUGUAAUCUUUAACAAAAAUAUUAACAAGAAAAUACGAUAGAGUAACGUGUAUAGAGUAACGUGUAUAGAGUGAUGCAAUAAUGUAUUAGAGUAUUGUAUCAGUAUUUCCAUUGCAUAUUAGAAUUUAGUUAAUGAAACCCAGUUUUAACAAUGAGAGAUGGAAUUUGUGAAGAAAUGGUGAAUGAGAUUUAUGAAAAAAAAAGGAAGAAAUUGAAAAUGCAUUGAGUUAGUUUGAAUCUGUUUUGAUAUUUGUAUUAAUGUGUGAAAUGAAAGUCUCUAUAUUCUAAUGGAAGAUGAAGAGCUCUUUCUGUGGCAAUCAUGCUCCUAUUCUUCAAUAUCAUAAUCAUUUCCGACAAAGUUAUUAGCUGUAGUGGAAUAGUUUGACUUGCCAAGAUUGAAGCUCAUGUGUGAAUCAAUAUUUUGUAGUGACAUAUCUAUAUAUUUUGUUCCAUAUAUUCUGGUUCUUGCAAAUCGUUAUCGUGCUAAUGAGUUGAAGUCCAUCUGUCAAAAAUUUUGUGUUGAAAACUAUGAUGGUGAGAGUUCCUACUUAACUACUCAAAUUGAGUUUUCAGUUUAGAAUGUUUUAGCCUGAAACAUGGUUUCUGCAUUAGUUGUUAAUGUUUGGAAGUUGAUUCUCAUAUUCUUUCAUCAUUGUCUGUUGCAGCUGUGAAGAAAUCUGGUGGUUUGGAGUAUCUCAGGCAAAGAGGUGAAAGUUCAAAGGUUCACAUUUCUAAUGCUGAUAACAACAACAAUAAUCCAUUAGGCAUUACUUUUAAGAUUUGGAAUGAUCAAGAAAAUUAGUUGAUUAUAAAGACUAUGUACUCUUGAUAAAAAAAAAGAUAAUGUAUUACUUAGAAGGUACCAUGUUUCUUCAUUAUAUUAUUUUGUUGGGUAGUUAGUUGUAUUAAAUAUUAAUUUAUGUUUUCCUAUUUAGCAAAAAUAAAUUGAAUAAACUUGUACUGGAUUUAAUACUUUUACUUUUUGAUGCGAAUUAAAUGAGUUUACAAUGUUUAUGAUAUUCUCAUUAUUAUAACUUUUAUGAAAUAAGUUUAUUAUAUUCUCUAUGAACGUAGAUCCAUGAAGGAACAAGAAAAAAAAUCAUAAUUAGAGGUAGGUACAAAACUUUUGUUCUGCACGGAAACAUUUUCCAAAAAUAUAUGGGAUUAUUAUGAGUCAAGUCUUGCACAAUUAUUUGAGGUUCAGAACAAACUCUACAAUGUAAGACUUGAUUAUUUUCAUUCAAAAAAUUAUCUUGAUGAUGAUAUAUAUAAGUGAUGAAGUACCACAUACUAAUUCAAAUCUAAAACACAAUCACGACCAACUAGAUUUAACUUAUGAUAUAAACAUAUAUAUAUAUAUAUAUAUGCCUCGGUUUCAUCAGUACUUCAUCUCAAAAUAAUAGAUUUUUUAUUAUAAUAUUACUCAUUAUAUGAAUAAUAAUAAUAAAAAGACAAAUUGAAGGGUUAUUUUAUUCAAAAAUUUUAUUAUUUGUCACAUAUUUUUUAUAUAUCCACCUCCUAGAAAUAAUAGGAGUUUUCAAACUGCCGGAAAUAGCGGGAGUUUUCAAAAUCGUCGGAAAUAGUGAGGUUUUCAAACAGUUGAAAAUAGCGGGGGUUUUCAAAACAGUCGGGAAUAACGAAGGUUUUCAAAACUGUUGGAAAUAGUAGGGGUUUUCAAAUUGUCGGGAAUAACAGUAAUCACUUAGCGACGUUGAAUCUUUCAUAGAAAAAGCAAACCGCGAGUAAUACACUUAACAUGGGUUAAAACUGCAAAAAAUAACCCAUUAAAAUUAAUUUAUUUUUGUAGUGAGUAUGUUUUUCUAUAAGAGUAUUUUAAGGGUAUAGUUUUGUCAAGAGUAAUUUUUGUUUGUAACAAGUAGAAUCAGUAUUAUAAAUAGUUUUUCUUUUCCAUUAUAAUCAAAGAUUUACCUUUUCAUAACUUCUGUAAUAAAUUUUCAUUAAAUAGUAAUGUAGAGUGCAAAAAUAAAAUUUUAUAUCUGAUUUAGAACAAUAUUAAAAAACCUUAUGAUAUUUGGUACAAUAUUCUGAAUAACAAAAAAAUAUUUUAUUUCUUAUAACAAAAAUUAUAAUUUCCUAUUCUAACAAAUUUAAAAACUAUUUUAAAUUAAAUUUUUUGAAUAUUUAAAAAAAUUAGAGAAAUUUGAAUUUGAAAAAAAAUAUAAAGAAUCCAAAUUUUACAAUUUUACCCUUUAAAUAACUAUUUUUUUUAAAAUUCAAAUAAUUCUUUCCAAUAAAAAAUAACCUACACAAUAAAAAAAAUUGCAUACAACAAACUUAAAAAAUUAAUUAUUUUUGUAAUAAUUUUUAAUAAAAAUAUUUUUAUAAUUUUAUUUCAAUAGUUAUUAUAAUAAUAAUUUUUUUAUAAAGAAAAAAAGUGUAGUUAUUCCUCUUUAAAAAAAUAUAUUUGUUUACUAUAUAAAAUAAAUAAUUUAUUUUUAUUUUAUUUUAAAAUAAUAAAUAAUUUUUCUUAAAAGUAAUUGAUAUAUAUGGAUAAUAAUUUCUACCUUAUAUAAAUAUUUUUAAAUAAAGAAUAAAAUAUAUUUUAAAUUCAUGUUUUUGUACAUAGUAAGAUUUAUAAUAAUAUUUUAAAUUUAUAUCACAUAUUAAUUAUAUAAUAUUUUAUAAUAAAAUAAAAUAAAAAUGCACUUAUAGGUCUGUGUUUUCAUUAGUUAGUAAUAAUAAUAAUAAAGAUAAAAGUAAUGUAUUUAUUCUAAAACAAUAUGCACAAAGUUUUUUCGGAUUCUGUAUAAAUGGUCAAAAAUUCACCUUUUUUUUCAUUAAAAGUGAUGCAUAUUACGAAAAUUUCAUUACUCCAAUCUCUUAUAGUCAAAUUGUUGGAAUGGAGUUCCAAUUUUGUCAUGGUUUGUUAGUGCUUUAUUAAUAUAAUUUUGGCAAAAAUUUGGUGUUUGAUACAAAACUUAAGAAUUAAAAAAUUACAAUCUUUUUCUAAAUUAAUUUAUGCACAAGAUAAUUUUAUAAUUUUGAAAAAUGUAUUUUUUAUUAUUUGAAAUAUUUAUAAAAUUUGUCCACUAUUUAAUACACGAAACAAUAAUAUUCUAGCUUUAUUUCUACGAAAAAUAAAUAUUAAAGUAUGCAAUCAAUCACUACCACCUUGAUUAAAAGUCGACUCAAUUUAUCAAAUAUCAUUAUUUACACUUUUAUUUCUCUCUCUAACAUUCUUUUGUUUUUAUUUCUUUAUCUAGCACCCUUUUAUUUUUAUUUUCCUACCUAUCACUAUUUCAAAAGUAAAAAAAUAAUAAUAAUUUUUUUUUUAAUUUUGAAUGGAUUAAAAAAAUAAAUAUUUUUAAUGUUUAAAAUAGUUAUUAAUGAAUAAAGAAAUGAGUUUCUAAAAAAUAAAAAUAAUAAAUAAUAAAUUAAAAAUGUUUAGUUUAAUUUUUUUUAAAUGAAGAAAAUGAAAAUUUAAGCCUACAACAACAUAAAAGUUGAAUAUAUAAACAUAAAUUAGUAUUUAUUUUUAUUAUUAUUUAUGAUGUAAUCAUGUUAAUUUCAAGUAAAAAAUAUAGGAUAUAAUUAUAAAAAAAAUCAAAAUCAAAAUCAAUUAAUAUUAAUUUGUAGUGGACACAUAGAUAAUAUUAUAGUGUCUACUCAUUUUUAAGCAUUAAGUAUAACAUUUGCAUUAAUUUUUUUUUUAGGAUUUUGCAUUUAGGGUAGACACUUCAAUAUUAUAUGGGUGUCAACUACUAAUUAAUACUAAUUUACUUUGUUUUUUUUUAUAAUUAUGUCCUGUAUUUUUUACUUGAAAUUAACAUGAUUACAUCAUCAAUAAUAAUAAAUAAAUACAAAUAUUCAUUUGUGUUUAUAGAUUCAACUUGUAUGUUGGUGUAGGGUUUAAUUUUUUAUUUUCUUCAUUCUUAAAAAAUAUUUAAACUAAACGUUUUUAAUUUAUUAUUAUUUUUUUGUAAAAAAUAUUUCUUUAUUCAUUAAUUAUAUUUCUAACUAUUUUAAACAUUAAAAAUAUUUAUUUUUUUAAUUUAUUCAAAAUUAAAAUUAUCAAUUUUUUUAAUUUUUUAAUUUAUUUUUUUACUUUUGAAAUAGUGUUAGAUAGGGAAAUAAAAACAAAAGGGUGCUAGAUAAGGAAAUAAAAACAAAAGGGUGUUAGAUGGGAAAAUAAAAAUGUAAAUAGUGUUAUAUGAGGAAUUGAGUCUCAAAAGUCUUCUCAUAAUUUAAAUUUAAAUUUGAUUUCUUUAAGCUAACUCCUUUAUGAAAUUUGUAUUAUUUUAAUAAUAUACACUACAAGAAAAUCAUCAAAUAGAAAUCAAUUUUAGAGUAAAAAAUAAUUAGUUGCUAUAGUGACUAAAUUAAAUAUCACUUUAGAGACUAAAAUAUUUUUUAGUUUCUAAAUUGGUAUCUAAUUAAUAUCAAGGUUUUAAUGACCGAACUGUUUUGUUCAGGUUCGUUAUUAUACUGAGUUAAAAACUUUGGUUAGGUGCCGACCAAACUGCUCAGGAGAUAAGGGAAUAUUUCAAUCACAAAUCCUACAAUAUUUGUUAAAGAAGUAGUAGAACACCAUUUAUCAUUUCAAAAAUUAAUAAAAGUACAUGUACCAAUAGUCUAAGAAAUAUAAUCAAGUAUAUGAGAAUAAAAUUGUAUAAUUCCAGGCCAAAGAUAUGAGGAUCUAUAAACCAUUCUAAACUCAUAUUUUGAUUUAAGAACCCUGACUUUCAGGAGAAAAGACAAAGGUCUGUUACUAUAAACAAAGUUCCAAGCAAGCUUAAGAAGAUAUAUAUUAUUUUCACGAUGAAGGUUAAUAAUCUUCAAACCUCAUUCUAAAAAGGAAAACAAAUCGUAACCCAAUUAGUGGUAGAUAUGCAUUUUUUCAAAAUAUCACCAAUCGAAAUAAAAUUUCGACACCCUUCUCAACUUGCUUAAAAAGUGAAACAUAUAUACCAUUUGUACACAUUAAAUAUAUAAACUAGAAAUUCAAUAAUCACCAUAUUAACCAACUAAAUCAACCCAUCAUGCUAAGAAAUAAGUUGUUCAAUUCCUUAUUCAGAAGGUAUUUGAACUUAUAUUAUUAGCUUCAUCAUUUAAAAAAAAAGUUCAUCUCAAAUAGUUUAACUCUAGAUUAAUUUUUUUAUAUUAUUUGAUUUUAUUAUUCCAUACGUAUAGAUUUGAAGAAUCUUUAACUUUUUGUAACUGUUAUUUGGAUAUUUAGUAACUUUCACAUAAAAACUUUUCAAAAUUGAAAUUGAUUUCUAAACUGUAUGAGUCUUAUUGUUUUAAAUUGGUGGCUUGAGUAUUGAAAUUAAAGAAAUAGACAUUGAGGUUUAGGGUUUUUUUGAAAUUGAUAAGAGUAUGUGAAGGUCAACUUGAGUAAUAUUAGUUAUUUUGAGCUUUAUGUUUUUUUUAUCAGCAAAUAGUAAUGAAAUUAAAUGAGACAAAUUCAGGGGUGGUCCAACCCUUAUACAGCAAAAUGAUGCUCACAAAGUACCUUUCCAUCUACAUAUCAACCAAAAAAAUAACAAAGAUCAACCAAUAUAAAAAACUAAAUUGAAUGCAUACAUACCAAGGGUUCUAGACACCAAUCAGAGAAUGAAAAAUUAGCUGACGGUAUUUUUGAAGAGAUCUAGGACCAAACCUUAAUCUGUGUCAGAGAGAACACUUCAGUAUGAUCAACCACUCCACCUUUAAAUAAACAGUUAUUCUUGUGCCUCCAUAUCUCGCUAACCAACGCAAUCCACAAGUUGCCCAUAAUAAGAUUAACUGAAGUGGGUGCAUCCAGAAUCUUGAAAUGUUCAAAAUGAGACCCAAGAUCCAUAAAAUCGACUGAUCUUAGUCCUAACCAGUCAUAACAAAGAUUCCAAAUUAGCCAAGCAACUCUACAUUCGCCGAACAAAUGAUUUGUUGACUCCUCUGACCUCCUACACAAGCAACACAAAUUACUCUCGACCUCGAUUCCUCUUCUCUUCAGAUUAACCCUACAAGCAACCUUGUUUUCAAUCACUCUCCAAGAUGUGACUUGAGCUGAGGGAAGCGCCCUAAUUUUCCAGAAAAAAUUAUAACUUCUUGAGUCUUCCUCACUUCCUUCUCCCCUUUAAAAACCAUAAGCGAACUUAACUGAAAGCUCUAUUGAAUCACUAUCCUUCCAAACACAUCUAUCCAUUGUUUCCAUCUCGAGCAUCUUAGUAGAGAUCAUCUCUAAGAAUUGACUUUCUUGCUCCUCUUCCCAAGCGAACAUACCCCUUCUCCACCUUAAGUUCCACUCCCAAGUCCUGUUCCCCCAUAUACCACAAUCACAUAAAUUUGCCUCCUUAUUAACAAACAAAGAAAAUAAUCUUGGAAAUCCAAUCUUCAAGGCUUCUGAGUCUAUCCAAUUGUCUGACCAAAACAUAACCUCUCUCCCGUUUCCGACCUCCAAAUUCAAACGAUCUUCAAACUUCCUUCCCCAUUCCUCAAACCUUCCUUAAAUCUCUCCACCACAUAAAGACCUUACUAUUAUUACCUCGCUGCUCCUUCAAACCUCUCUAUCCUCCAUACUUAGAUUCCAAUACCUCCCUCCACAACCCCUGUUUCCGUUUUCAAACGCCAAAUCCAUUUUUCCAUUAGAGCCAAAUUAAACUGCCUGACAUUCAUAAUACCAAGCCCUCCUUCUUCCUUGGAUUUACAAACCUUAUCCCAUGCCACCCAGACAAUCUUCCUUCCAUCUAACCCCCAUCCCCACAAAACAUUCAUCUGCAGGCUCACAAUCUUCUUUAAAACAAUAGGCAAAAUCUUGAAUAGAGAAAGAUAAAACAAAGGUAUUGACGACAAGACCGACUUAAUUAAGCAUAUCCUCCCCGCCAUCGAGAUAAAUCUUUCUUUACCCUGUUAACCACUUCAUCCCAUAACUCACCCCUCUUAUGACACCCCCCUACAGGCAUCCCCAAAUACUUAAAAGGAAUUCUCAUCAUCUCACAAUUUAGAAUUGUCGCAAAGUGGAGAAUCUCCGACUGCUCCAUCCCAAUCCCACCAAGUUUACUCUUAGAAAAAUUCACCUUAAGACCAUAUACCAAUUCAAAAUAGUUCAACGUUACCUUUAUAUUAAAAACACUUUUGCUAUUUGCCUUACAAUACAACAAUGUAUAUAUUGUUAUUGUUCUAUAAUUAAAUUUUAGCGUAAAGAUUGUUAGAGUGAUGCUUAAGCAAACUUUAACCUUAAGUGAAAAGUAUUAUUAUUUAAGUAAGAGAGACAAUAAUAAUAAUCUCUUCUCUUGAAAUUCAUUACUCAAAUAAUGAUUAAUUACUCAGUUUGAAUGUAAAAAUUAAGUGAAAAAUAUUAUUGUUUAAGAAAAAGAGACAAGAGAAAAAUCUUCAUAACAAACUUUAUUUUAAUCUUAAGCCACAUCACACAACUUUAUCACAGGCUUAAUAUUGACUUAUUUUUCAUGAAAAGUGUAUAUAACAUAAUAUAUUAGAAUGCAUAAAAGCAAACAUGAAACACAUAAACAAGCAAUUAGAAAUAACGUAUGAUGUGGUCUACUUGAAGAACUCCAUAACCCAGAAAAUGUUGACACGACAUUCAUAUCUGAUGCCACUAAAUCCAGCUGCUCUUGCCAGUUUCAUGAACUCUUCUUCAGAUCGUUCUUUACCUCCCGGGUUCUGAGUCAUCAUCGCAACAUCCAUUUGUGCAACCGUCUUAUAAACAUCAUUAUUCUCUGGUAUCUGUGGAAGAAUUGCCUCCACAACUAUCACCUUUCCAUCAUCAGGAAUUGCAUCAUAGCAAUUCUUCAACAGCUUCACACAAUGUUCAUCACUCCAAUCAUGAAGUAUCCACUGUACAAUUACUUAAUGUCAAACCGCAUUGAAUGAAGUUGGUAUAAGUCAUGCAUCAGUUUGAAUUAAACUCUUUUUUCAACCAACUAUUAUUCAUAUUCAAGACAAGAAACAUGUUCAUACUUUGUAUUAAAUACAUAAAAAAAAACCAAAUAAUGUUUGAAUAUUAAUGUUUAGAAAUUUAAACUAAUAAAGUCAAACAAAGGGGUUAGAGUUAUGAUAUUUUGACAUGGUCAAAACAAUAUUAAAUGCACAUGCUUAUUAAUUUAAUAAAUUAAUAUUUUAAUUAUAUUGAUUUUAUAUUUUAAUUUAAAAUAUUAUCAUAUUAUUAUAAGGUGUUAUGAAGUGAAUCUGUUUAGAGUUUCAAACCAUAUUUUUCCAAUUAAAUAGUAGUAUAUUUCCCAGACCGAGACUUACCUUCAUAAAUAUGGCGUCUCCUUUAGGCACAUUUUCAAACAUGUCUCCCUCAACGUGUUCCACUCCUGCAAUAUUAGAAAGUAAAUAGUACACACUAUUUAUGUUAUUGUCUUGUAAAAACUCAAAGUUGACCUUCAAAAGACGAAAAAACAACAUUUUUUUUUUAAAUUUUGCAGAACCACAGGAUUGGAAUGUGUAAGGAUGAUACCAGGAUAGGAAGGAGCAUCUCGAAUGACAUGAGGCAAGUCGAAAUUGAUGCCAUGGAUAUUAGGGUAUUUGGAAGUGAUCAAGUUAAUGUUUAUUCCAAGACCACCACCAACAUCCACCACUCUUUUUAUGCCCUCAAAACCUUCGUAGGACUCCAGAACCUUCUUCAUCACCAAAGGGGUGUUGAUCAUUGCUGUGUUGAAAACUUUAUUGAACCUUGAAUCCAAACGUGCAUACUCAAAAGCAUGAGUGCCAUGAACCCUGUUGAAUGGAACACCCCCCUCCCUAAUUGCAUCUUUCAGCUCACUCCUAUAAUAAUAUAUAAACAAAUUACUAGUACCAUACAGAAAUACAUGAAAUCUUUAAAAAUAUAAGAUACGGAAACAUAAAUCUAUAUCUAUAACUAUAUAUAAAGAUGAUUUUUCAUUAUAACCAUUUUUUGGUAUACACAAUUUUUUUAUGAUUCUAUCCUUAUUCAAUAUAUCUCAUCUUAUUAGUAUUUUAUCAUUUCAUAUAAAUUAUUAAAAAAAUAAAAUUAUUUAUUAAUUUGUUAAAUUAAUGUUAUGUGACAGUCUUUAUAUGUAAACUAACUUCUCACUCUUCCUUUACUUUCCUAUUAGGCAACAACAAAAAUAAAGGUGCUCUCACCCUCACUCCUCUAUUAAUUCCCACACCAAAUCUAGCAACAACAGAAAUAAAGAGAUCAUACUCUCACCCUCACUCUUCCAUUCUCACACCAAAUCUAACGUAUACAACAAAAUAACAUACAUUUAUUUUCAAUCACUCUCUCGAGUUCAUUUCAAACAACUCUAUUCUUUGGUAAAACCAUCAUUCUUUUUUAUCUACCAUCAAGUGAAUCUUAACAUUAACAUGAACAUCAUCACACUCUCCGAUUCCAAAACCACCCAUGGAAGAAAAUAAAAAACUUGAAGGAGAGAACUCAAACCAUAGGAGAAACAAAAUGUUGAUUAAUCAAUUUAUCAUUUAUUUUUUACAUAUUAUUUUUUGUUUUUCAAUUUUGACUCAUCCAAAAUUAUUGUUGUAUGUAUGUUAAAUUUUUAUCAUCAUAUAAGUUAAACAGAAGAAGGAAUGCGGAUACACAUACACUACAAUGCCUCUGAUUUCGCUAGUAUUAUAUAAUUUGACAAUAAAUACUUAUGUGCACAAGUAUCACUUAUUUUUAGUAAAAAUAUGUUUCUCAUUACUAGUUAAAAAGGAUUUGUUCCUUAUUUUUAUAACUAUAAUAAAAAUUUAUAUAAUAAAUUUGAGUUUUUAAAAAUUUAAUGUAUUUUUUUUUUUUAAGAUUGUAUUAGAACCAUACUAGAAUUGUCAGAAAUCCAACAAAUAUUUUUUGAAUUGAACACUUCACAUAUACAUAUUCUACAAACAUAUUCUACAAGUGUCAUAUACAUAUUCUACAAGUGUCGAUAUGUAAUACAUGUAUCGAUAUGCAUACCAUUUAAGAUACUUGUCCUAAACUCUUAGCACGUUAGAUAUACGAAUAUGUUUGUGAUGGAAAAGAACAUAAAAUGAUAAUAAUAGUUGAGAGAGAGAGAGUUUAACCAGCUGUGUAGAGAGAUUUUGUCUUGGAUCAAGGCCAUCACGGGCCCCAACGAAACUCCAUCAGAAUUGGGAACAAAGAAUGCGGCGACGGGAGUCAUGGUGUAGAGCCUGUGAAAGGUGGGAGGGACACGGUGGUCGGAAACGAGGGAAGAGUGAAGAAUGGAGUGAGAAGAAAGAAGUGCGAGGAGACGAUCUAGCAUUGAGGCUGCUUGUGGGUUACUGCAACUAAUCUUUGAUGCUAUUUCCUUAGCAGACAGCUUAGCACCUUCUCCCGCUUCUUUCAGCACCUCAAACACUCCCAGCUCCGUCGCUGAUUGCACU
rnacentral:lncRNA from 1 species